AUGUGCAGACUGAACACACCUCACAAACAGACACUUUCAGACUUCAGUGUGUUUUUCAGGCUGCAUUCAGUACUCAGGCUUGUGUACGGACUGACCUCUUGUGUACAGACAUCUGAAGGUAUCUGUGCAUCCCUGAUGGAGACAACACUGUACAGGAGGCCCGCGUGUCACCGUAUCACCAGAUCAAGGUUUUGUUCCCAGCCACAUCCCUCUGUCCAACCACAAUGUUCUCGAGACAGAUGGAGUUAUGCACAUCGACAGACAGCAGACGGUUCACAUGCCUCCAACAACCCAAACACGCCUAUAAACAUCUCUGAUCAUCAACAGAACACAGUUUACAUCUGUCAUCUAUCAAAACCCAACGUUCACCACAACACCACUUGUAACCAUGUGACUACAAGGUGUGGUACAUAAUGUUUUGUGUAAUUUCACCAGGUCAUGUACCAGGCACUGUUUCAACAAGCAACUGUUUCUCUCUCUCUCGCCUUGGAUUAACCAGAGUGAAAUUUCAAGAAUGUGAUUGAACACUUGUCUCGGCCGUUGACUGUGAAGUCAGUUUUAUUGUCUGACCUCAUGUGAGGGAACACUGUGUUCCAGACAAUAAAGUAGGUCACACAUCAUUAAACAAAGUCCUCUACCUCCCCCUACUGGAUCUGUGUGGCACUGCACGCUUUAAUGCUUUAUAUCUGUCACUCACAGAACAGUAAAAUAGAAAGAAUGCAUCUGGCAAAAAAUAUAAAUAUCUGUUAUCAUUCUAUACAAUUUUAGCCUAAUCCAAUUAUGCAAAAUGUUGAAUAGAAAAGAAAAAAAGUGGUUUAGUUAAGGUUAUGUGAUACAUCAUUUAUAAUCAUUCAUAAUCAUUUUUUAUUAUUAUUAUUACAUGAACUCCUAAAAUUUUGAUUUGUAUUCACAUGUGUAAAUAGGAGACCGUUGGUUAGGUUUGUUUGUUUGUUUCUUUCCUUAUUUUUAAUAUACACAUUCAUUAGAGGCCUGGCUACAAAACAGCUACUUCACAUCAUAAACUGCAUAAACCAUUUAUAAAACAUUUGUGUAAUUAAACUUUUCACUCAAAAUCUUGAAUUUGUAUUUUUAUAUAUUCUAAAAUGUAUUAUUUUUUUUUUUUUACAUAUGAUUGAUUUUUUUUUAUUAUUAGCUAUUAUUCCGCUAUACUAAGUAAACACUACUGUUACAUAACAGUUACUCAGUGUGUUACAUAAUCUUUAGGAUAUCAAUCACGUGCAAUCUGAUAUCUGAAACCUUUCUUAUUAGCACAGUUAAGAAUUGUCAUGCUACUCAAUGAAGUGUAAAAAUCACAAUACGGUGCUUUUUUAGUUGUUCAUGCACUGAAAACUUCAAUUUUGUAUUUAAAUAAAAAAACGCAAACUCUUUAAAAC
rnacentral:lncRNA from 12 species